UUCGGUGACGAGGUGCCAAUCUUUUAUUAGCCAAUUAGUGUCGGUAAGAGAUGAACGUCGGCUACCUACCGGAGGGGGUCGGGGGGUCUAAAAUAACUUACUGUUGUUACCGAAACUGAAUCAGGGGGUUUUAUCUGUGUGUUAGCGGCUACAAACGUAAGAGUGAGCGUGUUUGGAGCAGCUUCGGCCGGAAAUUAUACAGAACGUCGGCAGUUUCUGGUGGCAUCAGUGCUAGUUAGCCUCGCCCCUGCUAGCUCGGAGAAGAAGGAGCCUGCGUGUGGGAGGAUAUUUUGCGCCAGGUUUCCGAUGUGCCGUGCGCAUCCUGCUGCUGCUCCUGUAGAGGGCGCUCGGGAGUCCACGCUGUUGUCAGGAAAGCUGCUGCUGCCGCUGCUGCACGUGGGCCAGGUUUCAGGACCGGUUUCUCCAUCUCAUCUCACCUUUCUCCAUGAGGAAACUCUGCUGCUAACCGUUUCUGAAUUUCCAAGGACCAUAACUCCAAAAACAACCCAGCCCCCGUCUUAAUUCCCAGAGCCAGAGGCUGUGGGAAGGAGGAGGCGUGAU